rnacentral:rRNA from 1 species
GAUGAACGCUGGCGGCGUGCCUAACACAUGCAAGUCGAACGGAGAUUCCGGACGGAUGUUUUCGGAUGGAAGCCUGUAAUUCUUAGUGGCGGACGGGUGAGUAACGCGUGGGCAACCUGCCCUAUACAGGGGGAUAGCAGCUGGAAACGGCUGGUAAGACCGCAUAAGUCGGUUAAAUCGCAUGAUUUGAUCGGGAAAUGAGCAAUCAGGUAUAGGAUGGGCCCGCGUCCGAUUAGCCAGUUGGCAGGGUAAAAGCCUACCAAAGCGACGAUCGGUAGCCGGACUGAGAGGUCGGACGGCCACAUUGGGACUGAGACACGGCCCAAACUCCUACGGGAGGCAGCAGUGGGGGAUAUUGCACAAUGGAGGAAACUCUGAUGCAGCGACGCCGCGUGAGUGAAGAAGUAUUUCGGUAUGUAAAGCUCUAUCAGCAGGGAAGAUGAUGACGGUACCUGACUAAGAAGCCCCGGCUAACUACGUG